rnacentral:tRNA from 1 species
AGAGGUACCUCUCAGUGGUAGAGUGCCUGCUUAGCAUGCACGAGGUCUUGGGUUCAAUCCACAGUACCUCCA